rnacentral:rRNA from 1 species
UACAGAGGUCUCAAGCGUUGUUCGGAUUCAUUGGGCGUAAAGGGUGCGUAGGCGGCGCGGUAAGUCGGGUGUGAAAUCUCGGAGCUUAACUCCGAAACUGCAUUCGAUACUGCCGUGCUUGAGGACUGGAGAGGAGACUGGAAUUUACGGUGUAGCGGUGAAAUGCGUAGAUAUCGGUAGGAACACCAGUGGCGAAGGCGGUCUCCUGGGGCAUUCUUGACGCUGAGGCGCGGAAAGCUGGGGGGAGCAAACGGG